CAUGUAUACACAUUUGCUUUUAACUGUUGCUUUAAAGAUAGUCUGCCUGUUGGAUAAGAAGUAACAGAAAAUAUUUAGAAUUGUCAGAGUUGGGAAAACAGGUUUUGAAUGUGAAGAACUAAAGGAAAGCUGGGAAUCAAAAAUAAAUUUUAGGUUUCAGUUUUAAGUGAUUAGAGGAUAUUGGUGCUAUUAAGAUAAUAAAUAGAAGACGGUUCUUUGGGGUACAAGCCCACCAUCUUUUGUUACUGAGUCUAAGCUUGUAGUGCAGCGAGCAGUACAAACUUAGACUAGGCAACAAAUUUUGGCAAAGCCAGCCAGGAGCCUUGCUGCUCGUAGCCAGCCAGCCCUGGUUGGGGAAUUUUCAGGUAAGGCCCUAGCAGCUGCCAGGACCACUUGUCAUGAGGAUCUGCCCUCCAAGAUUCCUCAAAUCAGCACCAGCUGCCCCAGCACUUGGCAGCUGGAGCAAGGAAUUGUCAUCUGGGAGCUGUCAGGCUCCGUAUAGUAGGAUCAAUGGAAUGUAACAGGGUCCAGAAGUAGAUCUCCACUGUAUGUGAACAACUCAUUUUUGGCAAAAUGCACUGAAUAUUUGCCAAGUGGCAUACCUUCAGCACUCAGCCAGGCACAAUGGAAGAUGACACAAAGACUAAUGACAUAUGGCUUUUGACAUGAAGAGGCUCAGAGUCCAUACAGGUGCAGAUCCCACCAAGUGUUGUUAACCCCCUCUGAAAAUGGGGUCCAAAUGAAAAGGCCUUCACCUUAACUCAAUCAGAACUCCAGUAUUGAUCCUCCAAAUUACAGGAUAAUUGGGUGAUGCUUAUACCCCCCAACAAGAUAAUGAACUCCUAUGGCAAUGACUACACUAGGCAUCAUCAUACAAGACACUCACAGUAAAAAGUGAAAAUGAGAAGUUUGUCUAUGCCAUCAAGGAGAUUUUAGUCAAGUAAACCACCUUUAACAAAGAAAAUAAAGAAACUAGAGGUAAGUCCUCAAGAUCUAGAAAUGGAACUAAUCUUGCAGAGAAUCUUUUCAGCCCAAGCACUUCUGGCUCAGAAAAAUAAAGGUAAGAGAACUUAGGUGGGUUUCAUAAUUGCUUUGUUCCUGAUGCUAGAUGCUCAGCUCAAAGCAUCCCAGUUGUGUCUGAACAUUUGGCUUCCCUAACAAGAUAUGUACACCACAAAGCCCCCUCCUAUAGAAGGAAAUUGUCAACUUGCCCAGACACUUUUUCCUGUCCCAGCAGGAAUCCUCCUGGUUGAGAUAACAUGUUUCCUCUGUACCAGGAUCUGCAUAAUCAUUAUUUAACGUGCACUCCGCAUGCCGUCCACUGGAUGUUUAGUAUCUAUGAAUGUCCUCCAUUCAGAUUCUUGCCUACAUUUGUCCUCACCUACUUGCCUGGCUUUUAACUCACCUUUACCCCAGUGUUUAAUAUUUUGGACUUAGUGGCCUAUUCUGUCAGCAUUGUUUCAGCUGACUGCCCUUUUCCUAAACUAUCUGAACUGCUUAAAGGUUUUCCUGGCAAGACACCAAGCCUGGAGUAACAAAUCUGGAAUGUCUACACUUUCUUUUAGGCAAAGUUUCCAGCCUUGCGGCUAGGCUCUACCAGCAUGUUAUAGUACAGACACAAUGAGUCUGAGUCCAGGUGUCUGAUUUGCUAAUUAGUUACUAUAAAACUAUAAGUAAAGUAGUUUUUCUCUUUCUUUUAGGUUAUUAUUAAAAUGAAUUGACACAUUGCUGGAAUAUAU